rnacentral:siRNA from 1 species
GUUGGGUUGUCCGUGUGAGCUAUC